rnacentral:tRNA from 1 species
GAUUGGGGUAUAGAAUCUUCAUAUAGGACGUAUCCUGUCGACUUAUGUCGAUCAGUUCCUCAGAUUAAAUUAUAAAAUUUAAUUUUAGUUCAUAAACUUGUCUAGGUCACACCCAACAACUUUCUCUUGGGCUAUUAGCUCAGGCGGUUAGAGCGCACCCUGAUAAGGGUGAGGUCCCUGGUUCAAGUCCAGGAUGGCCCAUUCGUUGUUGGGGGUAUAGCUCAGUUGGUAGAGCGCCUGCUUUGCAAGCAGGAUGUCAGCGGUUCGAGUCCGCUUACCUCCACUGAUCAACUACCUAAUAACUCAAUUAUUGGAGAUUGUUUUUGUUUGAUUUGACUUAGAUGUUGUUCAUCUGAAUGAACCUAGCUUCCUAUCAUUCCAAAUUUAAAUAUGGCUGAUAAGACGCUGGGCUCACUGAUAGAAAUAUCAGUUUGAUUCAGUAGAACCUUGACAACUGCAUAGGAAAGUCUGGAAAGAAAGCAUCUCAUAGAUGUUUAUAGAAAAAUCUUAUUUAGCAAAGCUAAGUUUUGAGAUUUCUAUAAAAAUUCUAAAGUUAGAGCAAAAUUUCUAUAACUAAAUUUUCUUGAUUAAAUUAGUUUUAAC